ACAUUGUGAAAUGGUGGCAAAGAAAGCAUUGCACUCCAUAUCGGGUUGUAUAAAGAGUGGUGCAAUGCUAUACGACCCUGGCUACACGCAGAAAAGAGUCAUUAGCUAUUUAUUUCUCCUCCGGUAUGCCUGUAUAUGUGUCUUUCUGAUGAAAGCAUACGCUGCUUGUGUUAAGAUUCUCACAUUGAACUUGUAGUGUCGUGCGAUGGCAUGGACGCUGAGAGCCUGAUGAAGCAGGAAGCAGCUGACCAUGAGGGGGAGGAGCAGCUGAUCAAGACGGCGAGGCAUGGCCAUGCCGCCUGGCACUGGAAGAGC
rnacentral:lncRNA from 1 species